UUGGAGGGCAAGUCUGGUGCCAGCAGCCGCGGUAAUUCCAGCUCCAAUAGCGUAUAUUAAAGUUGUUGCAGUUAAAAAGCUCGUAGUUGAAUUUCGGGAUUUAUCCGUCGGUCGGGCUUUUGGGUCUGUACUGGCGUGAUGGGUUCCUACCUUCUGAAUAACCGGCAUGUCAUUAAUUUGGUGCGCCGGGGAAGCAGGACUGUUACCUUGAAAAAAUUAGAGUGCUUAAAGCAGGCUUAUGCCUGAAUACAUUAGCAUGGAAUAAUGAAAUAGGACGGCAUGGUUCUAUUUUGUUGGUUUCUAGGAUCACCGUAAUGAUUAAUAGGGAUAGUUGGGGGCAUUAGUAUUCAAUUGUCAGAGGUGAAAUUCUUGGAUUUAUUGAAGACUAACUUCUGCGAAAGCAUUUGCCAAGGAUGUUUUCAUUAAUCAAGAACGAAAGUUAGGGGAUCGAAGACGAUCAGAUACCGUCGUAGUCUUAACCAUAAACUAUGCCGACUAGGGAUCGGACGAUGUUAAUUUUUUAAUGACUCGUUCGGCGCCUUACGGGAAAC
rnacentral:rRNA from 1 species